CCCUGCCUCUUGGGCAACGAGUGCCAUGGCUGCCUGCCCAGCUAGCCUCAGGGGAUGCCACGUGGCUGGGAUGUGUGGCCCUGGCCCUGCUUUCCAUCUGGUGUGACUUUGUCUCCCUCUUGAUGCCCCCCCCCACCUUCCUGCAGCUCCCGCCCUUGAUGCCAGGACCGGCCCCCACCACGCCCGGGCAACUGGUGGUCCCGGCAGACCUGGCCAGCAGGCAGGACUCAGGGAAGCCUGCAGGGCCAUCAGGCAGCCUACUGACCACCAGCCCUCAGGCCUGGGGAUAGAACUAGAGUCGUUUGGGGCCACAGCUGCCACCCUCAGGGGCAUGGGGGAGGCAGGUGGGGGUCUGUGUAGGCAGCACCCUUACCCCAGCGGGCAGAGUCCUGGGAUAUCUCGGGAAGUUUCCUUCUCACUGUGCCAGGCCCGGUGUCUGGCUGGUGAGUUUGAGGCACACUGAUCAGGCUGAACUCAGAAUGCUGGGGAGUCAGGGUCAGAAAAGUCCAGGCAGGUCCCUGCAGGGGACCUGCACAGGCCAGAGGCCUCCACCCCUGGGCACCAGUUGGGCUGUGAGCCACUGUGAUGGUGGCUGUGCUGGGCUCUCAAGCUGUGCCCCCUGCUUUGUGGGGCCUGGCUCUCCAUCCUGGCUGGAUGCCACUUUCUUUGUGUGGGUGAAGCUGUCUGGAUUCUCAUCUGGGGCCAGAGAGCCGCCUCCCAUCGGCAGAAAGGUGAAGUGAAGCUUCUGCUUUCCACAGUCCUCUGGUGCCCAGAGAGGGGAGGGAAGGGCUCAGGGCCACACAGCACACAGGGGUCGGGGGGGGGCGCUACCGCCUGCCGCGUGCUACCAGGAAUGCAUUGGAGCCUCGUGGGCACUGGAGGUAGAUGCUUCUCCCCCCAUUUCACAGAUGAGAAAACCGAGGUGACUCCCUAGCCCAGGCCCAGGCCCCUUUCCAGGCUUCUGCCGUGGGAGGUGUGCCUCCAUCACCCCUACAUCCUGGCUCAGCCCUCGGGGACUGCAGCCCUCUUCCCACCAGGCUGGUGCCAAGGGGCACCGGCUCCUGGAAACCCAGAGAAGGCAGACAGCUCUUCCGCGUUGUCCUGGAGAUGCUGCCAGAGUCGGCCUGUUUGUCCUGCUGCCAGGGCCGCCGGGGGCCCCAUCGAUGCCCACCUGGCCAGACACAGCUCCCAUCAUUAAAUAUGGCAAAGUGUGGCACCGGCUCCACAGAGCCUACCGUGGAAGAGAAAGGUCCUACUCUUGCUGUCCUGGUAGAAGACGAGGCCCAGAGAGGGGCAGGACCUGCUCAAGGCUGCACACCCCUGCCCUCCUUCUGAGGCUGUGGAAAUGGAGUCACAGGGAGCCAGGGUCAGAAAGGGGACACAUCCAGCUUCCUGACUUGCCGCUCCGUCUUCACUCACUGCCAUCGGGUGCCCAGCGAGGCUCUCAGAAGCCCGGACACUCUGUCCAGGGGCUGCCUCCCUGGCCCGGACUCUGUGGGGGCUCUGGCUGGUCCCAGGCUGGACUUCCCCGCCUCACCAGCCAGCUGCCCCAGGAUGGGUAAGGCUGGCCCAGCAUCUCAGAGCAAGUGGGGAGGGAGGGGAAAGCCAAAACUUUAAGGUAUAUGAACUGUGAAAUUAAAUAGAAAUACUCAAAUAAAGAAUCACAUAACAACAUAAGCAAAGAUGUUUACCAGGGCUUGAAGUUAAAUACAGAUUUUUUCAUAAACCCUAACACAAAAUGCAAUAAAGUUCUGUGGGAUGUUAAAUAUAAUUUACAGUGGGAGGAUGCCCCUCGCCGUCAGGAACCUGCGUGCACUGUGUCACUCUCCAGUGCUGACUUCUGCCGGCCUGGUACUGGCUCACCUGGCAAC